rnacentral:rRNA from 1 species
GAUGAACGCUGGCGGCGUGCUUAACACAUGCCAGUCGAACGGAAAGGCCCAAGCUUGCUUGGGUACUCGAGUGGCGAACGGGUGAGUAACACGUGGGUGAUCUGCCCUGCACUUCGGGAUAAGCCUGGGAAACUGGGUCUAAUACCGGAUAGGACCACAUUUUGGAUGGUGUGGUGGAAAGUUUUUCGGUGUGGGAUGAGCUCGCGGCCUAUCAGCUUGUUGGUGGGGUAAUGGCCUACCAAGGCGUCGACGGGUAGCCGGCCUGAGAGGGUGUACGGCCACAUUGGGACUGAGAUACGGCCCAGACUCCUACGGGAGGCAGCAGUGGGGAAUAUUGCACAAUGGGCGCAAGCCUGAUGCAGCGACGCCGCGGGGGGGAGGACGGCCUUCGGGUUGUAAACUCCUUUCGCUAGGGACGAAGCGUUAUGUGACGGUACCUGGAGAAGAAGCACCGGCUAACUACGUG